rnacentral:rRNA from 1 species
UGGGGAAUAUUGGACAAUGGGCGAAAGCCUGAUCCAGCAACGCCGCGUGAGGGAUGACGGCCUCGGGUUGUAAACCUCUUUCAGUACCGACGAAGCGCAAGUGACGGUAGGUACAGAAGAAGCACCGGCUAACUACGUGCCAGCAGCCGCGGUAAUACGAAGGGGGCGAGCGUUGUCCGGAAUUAUUGGGCGUAAAGGGCGCGUAGGUGGUGGCUUAAGCGUGCGGUGAAAGCUCGGGGCUCAACUCCGAGUCGGCCGUGCGAACUGGGCUCACUGGAGCAUAGUAGAGGCAGGUGGAAUUCCGGGUGUAGCGGUGGAAUGCGUAGAGAUCCGGAAGAACACCGGUGGCGAAGGCGGCCUGCUGGGCUAUGGCUGACACUGAGGCGCGACAGCGUGGGGAGCAAACAGGAUUAGAUACC